ACUGAACACUGGCGGCAUGCCUUACACAUGCAAGUCGAACGGUAACAGGUCUUCGGAUGCUGACGAGUGGCGAACGGGUGAGUAAUACAUCGGAACGUGCCCGAGAGUGGGGGAUAACGAGGCGAAAGCUUUGCUAAUACCGCAUACGAUCUCAGGAUGAAAGCAGGGGACCGCAAGGCCUUGCGCUCACGGAGCGGCCGAUGGCAGAUUAGGUAGUUGGUGGGAUAAAAGCUUACCAAGCCGACGAUCUGUAGCUGGUCUGAGAGGACGACCAGCCACACUGGGACUGAGACACGGCCCAGACUCCUACGGGAGGCAGCAGUGGGGAAUUUUGGACAAUGGGCGCAAGCCUGAUCCAGCCAUGCCGCGUGCAGGAUGAAGGCCUUCGGGUUGUAAACUGCUUUUGUACGGAACGAAAAGACUCUGGUUAAUACCUGGGGUCCAUGACGAUACCGUAAGAAUAAGCACCGGCUAACUACGUGCCAGCAGCCGCCGCAG
rnacentral:rRNA from 1 species